rnacentral:rRNA from 1 species
CCCUUAGAUGUUCUGGGCCGCACGCGCGCUACACUGAUGCAUUCAACGAGUCUAAAACCUGGUCUGAUAGGGCUGGGUAAUCCUUUGAAUGUGCAUCGUGAUUGGGAUAGAUGAUUGCAAUUCUUCAUCUUCAACGAGGAAUGCCUAGUAAACGCAAGUCAUCAGCUUGCAUUGAUUAUGUCCCUGCCCUUUGUACACACCGCCCGUCGCUCCUACCGAUUGAAUGUUCCGAUGAAUACCAUGGACUGAGAGUAUGAAUGGGUUCGCCUAUUUCUGCUUCUCGGGAAGUGGAGUAAAUCUUAACAUUUAGAGGAAGGAGAAGUCGUAACA